rnacentral:lncRNA from 1 species
GAAAAAGUGUAUGUAUUUGCAGUGCAGAAUGAAACAUGAGCAAUCAUACCAACACAAAUGCAACAGAUUCUAUCAGAACUCCGCAAGUUAAGGGUGCUUUGGCGAGAGUAGCACUAGGAUGGGUGACCUCCUUCGAAGUCCUUAUAUUUCACCUAUUUUCUUUGGAAGUCCUCGUGUUGCACCCAUUUUUUUGCAGAUGAUUCUUUCGACGAUUCGCGCGACUUGAAUUAUGGUCCUCAGGUUUAUUCACAAAUGUGAGUCACGGCACCGUAGCAUUUUACUUGAUAUUAGAACGAGCACGGGAGGUGCAGUGCGCACGCACAAGAAAACAAAUGACGGGAGGGGGAAGAAAGGAGAAGGAGUUUAUGUAUUUGCAGCGCAGAAUUAAAUGGGUGCGAUCAUACCAGCACUAAUGAACCGGAUCCCAUCAGAACUCCGCAGUUAAGUGUGCUUGGGCGAGAGUAGUACUCGGAUGGGUGACCUCCUAGGAAGUCCUCGUGUCGCACCAAUUUUUUUUCAGACGGGUCAUUCGACGUUACGCGCGUUUGGAACUAGGGUCCGCUAGUUUAUACACAAAUGUGAGUCAAGAAGCAGGGGCAUUUUAAUCGAUAUUAGAACGAGAAUGAGAGGUGAAGUGUGAACGCACAAGAAAACAAAUGACGGGAGGGGGAAGAAAGGAGAAGGAGUUUAUGUAUUUGCAGCGCGAAAUUAAACAGGUGCGAUCAUACCAGCACUAAUGCACCGGAUCCCAUCAGAACUCCACAGUUAAGAGUUCUUGGGCGAGAGUAGUACUCGGAUGGGUGUCCUCCUGGGAAGUCCUCGUGUCGCACUAAUUUUUUUUUCAGACGGUUCGUUCGACGUUACGCGCGACUGGAACUAGGGUCCACUUGUUUAUACGCAAAUGUGAGUCAAGAAGCAGGGGCAUUUUAAUCGAUAUUAGAACGAGAAGGAGAGAUGCAGAGUGCACGCACAAGGAAACAAAUAACGGGAGGGGGGAUGGAGGGAGAAAAAGUGUAUGUAUUUGCAGCGCAGAAUGAAACAUGAGCAAUCAUACCAGCACCAAUGCAACGGAUUCUAUCAGAACUCUGCAAGUUGAGGGUGCUUGGGCGAGAGUAGCAUUAGAAUGGGUGAGCUCAUGCGAAGUCCUUAUAUUUCACCCAUUUUCUUAGGAAGUCCUCGUGUUCCACCCAUUUUUUUGCAGAUGAUUCUUUCGACGAUACGCGCGACCUGAAUUAUGCUCCUCAGGUUUAUUCACAAAUGUGAGUCACGGCACCGUAGCAUUUUACUUGAUAUUAGAACGAGCACGGGAGGUGCAGUGCGCACGCACAAGGAAACAAAUGACAGGAGGGGGAAGAAAGGAGAAGGAGUUUAUGUAUUUGCAGCGCGGAAUUAAACGGGUGCGAUCAUACUAGCACUAAUGCACCGGAUCCCGUCAGAACUCUGCAGUUAAGUGUGCUUUGGCGAGAGUAGUACUCGGAUUGGUGACCUCCUGGGAAGUCCUCGUGUCGCACCAAUUUUUUUUCAGACGGGUCGUUCGACGUUACGCGCGACUGGAAUUAGGGUCCGCUGGUUUAUACGCAAAUGUGAGUCAAGAAGCAGGGGCAUUUUAAUCGAUAUUAGAACGAGAAGGAGAGGUGCAGUGUGAACGCACAAGGAAACAAUUGAUGGGAGGGGGAAGGAAGGAGAAGGAGUGUAUGUAUUUUCAGCAAGAAAUGAAACAGGUGCGAUCAUACCAGCACUAAUGCAACGGAUUCUAUCAGAGCUCCGUAGGUAAGGGUGCUUGGGGGAGAGUAGUACUAGCAUGGGUUACCUCCUGCGAAGUCCUUAUAUUUCACCCAUUUUCUUGUGAAGUCCUCGUGUUGCACCCAUUUUUUUGCAGAUGAUUCUUUCGACCUUACGCGCGACUUUAAUUAUGGUCCGCAGAUUUAUUCGCAAAUAUGAGUCACGGCGCCGUGGCAUUUUAUUUGAAAUUAGAACGAGAACGGGAGGUGCAGUGCGCACGCCCAACGAAACAAAUGACGGGAGGGGGAAGAAAGGGGAAUGAGUUUAUGUAUUUGCAGCCCAAAAAUAAACAGGUGCGAUCAUACCAGCACUAAUGCAGCAGAUCCCAUCAGAACUCCGCAGUUAUGUGUGCCUUGGCGAGAGUAGUACUCGGAUGGGUGACCUCCUGGGAAGUCCUAGUGUCGCACCAAUUUUUUUUCCAGACGGGUCGUUCGACGUUACGCGCGACUGGAACAAGGGUCCACUGGUUUAUACGCAAAUGUGAGUCAAGAAGCAGGGGCAUUUUAAUCGAUAUUAAAACGAGAAAGAGAGGUGCAGUGUGAACGCACAAGGAAACAAAUGACGCGAGGGGGGUGGGAGGUAGAAAAAGUAUAUGUAUUCGCAGCGCAGAAUGAAACAUGAGCAAUCAUACCAGCACCAAUGCAACGGAUUCCAUCAGAACUCCGUAGGUAAGGGUGCUUGGGUGAGAGUAGUACUAGCAUGGGUUACCUUCUCCGAAGUCCUUAUAUUUCACCCAUUUUCUUGUGAAGUCCACGUGUUACACCCAUUUUUUUGCAGAUGAUUCUUUCGACGUUACGCGCGACUUGAAUUAUGGUCCUCAGGUUUAUUCGCAAAUGUGAUUCUCGGCGCUGUAGCAUUUUACUUGAUAUUAGAACGAGAACGGGAGGUUCAGUGCGCACGCAGAAGGACACAAAUGACGGGAGGGGGAAGAAAGGGGAAUGAGUUUAUGUAUUUGCAGUGCGAAAUUAAACAGGUGCCAUCAUACCAGCACUAAUGCACCGGAUCCCAUCAGAACUCCGCAGUGAAGUGUGCUUGGGCGAGAUUAGUACUCGGAUGGGUAACCUCCUGGGAAGUCCUCGUGUCACAUUAAUUUGUUUUCAGACGGGUCGUUCAACGGUACGCGCGUCUGGAACUAGGGUCCGCUGGUUUAUACGCAAAUGUGAGUCAAGAAGCAGGGGCAUUUUAAUCGAUAUUAGAACGAGAAUGAGAGGUGAAGUGUGAAUGCACAAGGAAACAAAUGAUGGGAGGGGGGAAGGGAAGAAGGAGUGUAUGUAUUUUCAGCACGAAAUUAAACAGGUGCGGUCACACCAGCACAAAUGCACCGGAUCCCAUCAGAACUCCGCAGUUAAGUGUGCUUUGGCGAAAGUAGUACAAUGAUGGGUUACCUCCUGGGAAGUUCUCGUGUUGCAUCCAUUUUCUUUUUUUCAGAUGUGCCGUUCGACGUUACGCGCGACUUUAAUUAUGGUCCGCAGAUUUAUUCGCAAUUGUGAGUCACGGCGCCGUGGCAUUUUACUUGAUAUUUGAACGAGAACGAGAGGUGCAGUGCGCACGCACAAGGAAACAAAUGACGGGAGGGGGAAGAAAUGAGAAGGAGUUUAUGUAUUUGCAGCGCAAAAUUAAACAGGUGCGAUCAUACCAGCACUAAUGCUCCGGAUCCCAUUAGAACUCCGCAAUUAAGUGUGCUUGGGCGAGAGUAGUACUCGGAUGGGUGACAUCCUGGGAAGUCCUCGUGUCGCACUAAUUUUUUUUUUCAGACGGGUCGUUCGACGUUACGCGCAACUGGAACUAGGGUCCAUUGGUUUAUACGCAAAGGUGAGUCAAGAAGCAGGGGCAUUUUAAUCGAUAUUAGAACGAGAAGGAGAGAUGCAGAGUGCACGCACAAGGAAACAAAUGACGGGAGGGGGGAUGGAGGGAGAAAAAGUGUAUGUAUUUGCAGCGCAGAAUGAAAGAUGAGCAAUCAUACCAGAACCAAUGCAACGGAUUCUAUCAGAACUCCGCAAGUUAAGGGUCCUUGGGCAAGACUAGCACUAGGAUGGGUGACCUCCUGCGAAGUCCUUAUAUUUCACCCAUUUUCAUAGGAAGUCCUCGUAUUGCACCCAUUUUUUUGCAGAUGAUUCUUUCGACGAUACGCGCGACUUGAAUUAUGGUCCUCAGGUUUAUUCGCAAAAGUGAGUCACGGCACCGUAGCAUUUUACCUGAUAUUAGAACUAGCACGGGAGGUGCAGUGCGCACGCACAAGGAAACAAAUGAUGGGAGGGGGAAGAAAGGAGAAGGAGUUUAUGUAUUUACAGUGCGGAAUUAAACGGGUGCGAUCAUACCAGCACUAAUCCACCGGAUCCCAUCAGAACUCCGCAGUUAUGUGUGCUUGGGCGAGAGUAGUACUCGGAUGGGUGACCUCCUGGGAAGUUCUCGUGUCGCACCAAUUUUUUUUCAGACGGGUCAUUCGACGUUACGCACGACUGGAACUAGGGUCCGCUGGUUUAUACGCAAAUGUGAGUCAAGAAGAAGGGGCAUUUUAAUCGAUAUUAGAACGAGAAGGAGAGGUGCAGUGUGAACGCACAAGGAAACAAUUGAUGGGAGGGAAGGAGAAGGAGUGUAUGUAUUUUCAGCACCAAAUGAAACAGGUGCGAUCAUACCAGCACCAAUGCAACGGAUUCUCUCAGAACUCCGUAAGUAAGGGUGCUUGGGUGAGAGUAGUACUAGCAUGGGUUACCUCCUGCGAAGUCCUUAUAUUUCACCCAUUUUCUUGUGAAGUCCUCGUGUUGCACCCAUUUUUUUGCAGAUGAUUCUUUCGACGAUACGCGCGACUUGAAUUAUGGUCCUCAGGUUUAUUCGCAAAUGUGAGUCACGACACCGUAGCAUUUUACUUGAUAUUAGAAGGAGCACGGGAGGUGCAGUUCGCGCGCACAAGGAAACAAAUGACGGGAGGGGGAAGAAAGGAGAAGGAGUUUAUGUAUUUGCAGCGCGAAAUUAAACAGGUGCGAUCAUACCAGCACUAAUGCACCGGAUCCCAUCAGAACUCCGCAGUUAAGUGUGCUUUGGCGAAAGUAGUACAAUGAUGGGUUACCUCCUGGGAAGUUCUCGUGUUGCACCCAUUUUCUUUUUUUCAUAUGUGUCGUUCGACGUUACGCGCGUCUUUAAUUAUGGUCCUCAGGUUUAUUCGCAAAUGUGAGUCACGACACCGUAGCAUUUUACUUGAUAUUAGAACGAGCACGGGAGGUGCAGUUCGCACGCACAAGGAAACAAAUGAAGGGAGGGGGAAGAAAGGAGAAGGAGUUUAUGUAUUUGCAGCGCGAAAUUAAACAGGUGCGAUCAUACCAGCACUAAUGCACCGGAUCCCAUCAGAACUCCACAGUUAAGAGUUCUUGGGCGAGAGUAGUACUCGGAUGGGUGUCCUCCUGGGAAGUCCUCGUGUCGCACUAAUUUUUUUUUCAGACGGUUCGUUCAACGUUACGCGCGACUGGAACUAGGGUCCACUUGUUUAUACGCAAAUGUGAGUCAAGAAGCAGGGGCAUUUUAUUCGAUAUUAGAACGAGAAGGAGAGAUGCAGAGUGCACGCACAAGGAAACAAAUAACGGGAGGGGGGAUGGAGGGAGAAAAAGUGUAUGUAUUUGCAGCGCAGAAUGAAACAUGAGCAAUCAUACCAGCACCAAUGCAACGGAUUCUAUCAGAACUCCGCAAGUUGAGGGUGCUUGGGCGAGAGUAGCAUUAGAAUGGGUGAGCUCAUGCGAAGUCCUUAUAUUUCACCCAUUUUCUUAGGAAGUCCUCGUGUUCCACCCAUUUUUUUGCAGAUGAUUCUUUCGACGAUACGCGCGACCUGAAUUAUGGUCCUCAGGUUUAUUCACAAAUGUGAGUCACGGCACCGUAGCAUUUUACUUGAUAUUAGAACGAGCACGGGAGGUGCAGUGCGCACGCACAAGGAAACAAAUGAUAGGAGGGGGAAGAAAGGAGAAGGAGUUUAUGUAUUUGCAGCGCGGAAUUAAACGGGUGCGAUCAUACCAGCACUAAUGCACCGGAUCCCGUCAGAACUCCGCAGUUAAGUGUGCUUUGGCGAGAGUAGUACUCGGAUUGGUGACCUCCUGGGAAGUCCUCGUGUCGCACCAAUUUUUUUUCAGACGGGUCGUUCGACGUUACGCGCGACAGGAAUUAGGGUCCGCUUGUUUAUACGCAAAUGUGAGUCAAGAAGCAGGGGCAUUUUAAUCGAUAUUAGAACGAGAAGGAGAGGUGCAGUGUGAACGCACAAGGAAACAAUUGAUGGGAGGGGGAAGGAAGGAGAAGGAGUGUAUGUAUUUUCAGCAAGAAAUGAAACAGGUGCGAUCAUACCAGCACUAAUGCAACGGAUUCUAUCAGAGCUCCGUAGGUAAGGGUGCUUGGGGGAGAGUAGUACUAGCAUGGGUUACCUCCUGCGAAGUCCUUAUAUUUCACCCAUUUUCUUGUGAAGUCCUCGUGUUGCACCCAUUUUUUUGCAGAUGAUUCUUUCGACGUUACGCGCGACUUGAAUUAUGGUCCUCAGGUUUAUUCGCAAAUGUGAGUCACGGCACCGUAGUAUUUUACUUGAUUUUAGAACGAGCACGGGAGGUGCAG